GAUGAACGCUAGCGGAAGGCAUGAUACAUGCAAGUCGAACGGAUGUAGCAAUACAUUAGUGGCGCACGGGUGCGUAACGCGUAUGCAACCUACCUUCAUCAGGGGGACAACUACCCGAAAGGGUGGCUAACACCGCAUAAUACUAUUGAGUGGCAUCACUUGAUAUUUAAAUCGGCGGAGGAUGACGAUGGGCAUGCGUCUGAUUAGCUAGUUGGUGUGGUAACGGCGGACCAAGGCGACGAGCAGUAGGGGAACUGAGAGGUUGGUCCCCCACACUGGCACGGCGAUACGGGCCAGACUCCUACGGGAGGCAGCAGUAGGGAAUAUUGGUCAAUGGUGGGAACACUGAACCAGCCAUUCCGCGUGCAGGAAGAAGGGUCUCUGACUUGUAAACUGCUUUAGCAAGGGAAGAAAAAGCUCAUGCGUGAGAAAUUGACGGUACCUUGAGAAUAAGCACCGGCUAACUACGUGCCAGCCGCCGCCGUAAAAC
rnacentral:rRNA from 1 species